rnacentral:rRNA from 1 species
CGGAACACGUACGCAACCUUCCUUUAACUGGAGGAUAGCCCCUCGAAAGAGGGAUUAAUACUCCGUAACAUCACGAUAUGGCAUCAUAAUGUGAUUAUAGCUCCGGCGGUUAAAGAUGGGCGUGCGCCUGAUUAGAUAGUUGGCGGGGUAACGGCCCACCAAGUCUGCGAUCAGUAACUGGUGUGAGAGCACGACCAGUCACACGGGCACUGAGACACGGGCCCG